CUGAGAGUCAGGGCGGACCUGGACUCGGCGCGCCUAGCUCCUCGGCUCCCUUUGCGGGGACUCCAGGAGUCUGCCCGCUCGCGCCGUUUCGUCCUGUCACCCCGGCAACGGGACCCUCUAAGAGGCUUGUUCCAAAAAUGUUCACAAUGGGGUUUUUAAAAACGGUUUUGUUAGGGACAAGUGCUUGUGUGAGUCCUCCGACAAUGCCUGCUUUCUUCUCGCUGCCCGCGGAGCGGAGGCUCCAGGCCUGGCCCCAGUCCGAGGCGCCUCUGUCGGUGUCGUCCUGCUUCCAAAACCGGCCUCCAGAACCCGCCUCCUUCCAGAACCUCCGUCCAGAACCCGCCUCCCUCCAGAACCUCCGUACAGAACCCACAUCCUUCUAGCACCUGCCUCUGGAACCCACGUGCUUUCAGAACUACCUGUUUGUAGAACUUGUUUCCAGAACGAACCUGCUUUCCGAAUCUCUUUACUUCCAGAGCUUGUUUCCUGGACUGACCUAUUUUCAGAACCUACUUUCAAAACCAGCUUGCCUCCAGGACCACCUGCUUGGAGAACUGGCCUGCAGCCCCAGGACUGGACGACUUGAGACUGCACAGCUCCCUGCGGGGCUCACCCGGCUGUGUGUGUCCUUCCGGGCCUUCCAUACUUCCCUAGGUGUCUGGUGACUCCGGAGCCCGCUCGGAUUUCGUGUGGGUCUCGCCUCAGCUCAGAACACACCCUUUGAAGAGCAGGAAGGCCAGGGCACAGGCGGUAACCACGGCUCCUGGUCAUCAAGUUCCUCUGAAGCCCAGGCCUUGUCCACGUUCACUGCCCCACCACAGGCCCAGCGGAGCCUUGGAGCUGAGCCCUGGGAUCAUUCUGGUGCCUGUGCUCCCGGCUCCGCAACAAGCACACAUGAGCCUGUCAUCCCCAGAUCUAAAUCCUGAAGGCUAAGCUCCGUGGUCUGCCGCAGCCAUCUGCAGCAGGCCCCUCCCAGCAACAGCCUUCUCAUAAGGCCCCUGCCAGCCACGCGAAACCUCCUGGCUAGGGCCUGUCUUCCACUCCUGGCCUUUUGAGACAGGGCCUCACUCUGUUCCCUAGGCCGGAGUGCAGUGGUACGAUCACAGCUCACUGCAGCCUCCACCUCCUGGGCUCAUGUGAUCCUCCCACCUCAGCCUCCUGAAUAGCUGGGACUACAGGCUUGCACCACCACACCCGGCUAAUUUUUGUAUAUUUUGUAGAGACAGGGUUUCACCACAUUGCCCAGGCCCAGGCUGGUCUCAAACUUCUGGGCUCAAGCAAUUCAUCUGCCUCAACCUCCCAAAAGUGCUGGGAUUACAGGGAUGAGCCACCACACCCGGCUUUUUUUUUUUUCUUUCUCCUGGCCUUUUGGGCCCUUGAAGUGUCUGCUCCCUGGGAGCCCUUCAGCUUGUCGUCCACCUGGUGGGUUCCCACCCGUCCUUCUCACUUCUGCCUGAAUCACACAGGCUACAUGAGACCUUCACCCACCCCCUUCGCCAGCAGCUCUGUGGUUCAAGUUUCCUCAAGGGCAGGGGCUCCUGGCCAUCUUACCUGUGGGCCUGAGCAUGGGCCGAUGCUUCCAAAGUUCACACUGGGUGCACUUGUGUGGGGACUCCCAUGUGAGUCAUCUCCUUGCAGGCUGCCAAGGUCCUGUACAGCAGAGACCCCAACCCUCUUAGCAGUCUUCAGAGUCGGCUAUGUGUACAGGAGGCAUUACCAUAUCAGUGACUGUCAGCAAGCAUGUGUGACUGAAAUGGUAUCCAGUUCUUACGUAUUUGUUUUGCAGGCUUCUUGGUUCAGCAGACAGAGGCCAUUGGGAAGUUAAGAGAGGCUCUCAAACUUUGAGGGUCAUAAGACUUCCCCUCCCUGCAGGGUGCUGUUUCCUGAAGGAAAAUAUUCAAUUACUAUUUUAUUUAUUUA
rnacentral:antisense_RNA from 1 species